rnacentral:rRNA from 1 species
AUUGACCUCGGAUCAGGUAGGAUUACCCGCUGAACUUAAGCAUAUCAAUAAAGCGGAGGAA